rnacentral:lncRNA from 1 species
GCAGCUGCUGCCUGGCUUUACUUACAACUUUUUUUUGUAAAGGAACUUACCUCCAUCUGUCUUUGCAAGUUUUAGGGUAGAAAGAGUCCCUGUAACCCCUGAAGACAGUAAAUCACAGUUUGCAUGGUGGUUCUCAGAAGACACUUAAAAGAACUGAAUUGGAUGCUCUACAUAGCGCCCUUGCCAAAAGAGUUCGGAAAUGACUUCCAGCUUCCCACAGUAAUAAAAUGGCACUGUUUGGCAUCUUUAAGGGUCUAGGAGGAAGUCUGAUCAUCUUCCAUUUCCCAUCUGGGUAUUCAUAAGGCACCUGCAUCUCUGGGAUUUCUCCUAGACUACACAAUGUUACCAGCUGACAACAAACAUUGUGUAAAGGAAGACCACCCUUCAGAAAAGGCACCUGAACGUUAGACGCUUGGCAGCCAAAGGCGCAGGAUGUAGCUGUCUCUCCUUAUUCCUUAUUUCAGCUGUACCAGAAGUAGAAAUUAUAAUUAUGCUGGCCGGAAAAGACAAGACAGAUAUUUUUUAUAUGUAGGCCAGCCCACAUUCGUCUUUGUUUAAUAUGCUGCAAUUACAAGGCUAUUACAAACAAAUUAGUAGUAUCACGGAAGAAUUUUUAAUGACUUACUGAUUUCAAUUAUUGCCAAAUACCUUCAUCUAACCGUCACACUCUUAAUUAAGAGACACCGGUGUGUGUGUUUACAUAAUGUCUUUGUUAAAAUUAUGCAAUGGUGGCCUCAGCAGUGAGGGGCUGGUCCAUUCAUUAAGCAGACACAACCAUCAAAGAGGUUAAGCAGAUAUUACAAAAGAAGCAGGAAGAAGCAGGAUGUAGACACACCCAGUGUAACAAUAGUGGGGAAGGAGGUGUCCCUGACAAAGACAUGAUAAGAGGAAGGGGAAAUAUUGCUGCAACUCUGAAUGAUGGUCUGUAAACUCUUGAGCUCAUGUUUAUGAAGCCUCCGACAGCUCCCUUCAACAAAGACAGAAUUAGAGGUACAUGCUAAUGCCU